rnacentral:lncRNA from 1 species
CUCAACUGGUUCCUGUAGCUUCACAAGGUGUUGAAUUGGGGAAACUGAGAAAACCCCCAGUUAAUAAAAUCGAAAACAAGGGGCAGAAGAUUUCAUGGCUAACAUAUAUGAUGAUCCCGAGAAGGCAGAAUUUUGGCUUGAAAAUUCUAUCCGGGUAUUUGAUGAAUUAUCGUUGUAAUACCCAAUUUAUGCCCGGCCCACAUACAUAAAAUAAUAAAAUAAAAUAGAAAAAAUAAAUGUCCAGUUUCUUUACAAAUUCAACCCAAAACAAAAUUAUUUUAGCCCAAUUAAAUUACCCAACACCAGACCCAAAUAAUAAUCCUAACCCAAAACCUAAUUCGGCCCAACCUAGCCCAAAGCAUUCCUCGAACCCCGAAACCCUAGCCUUCAGCAACCAACAACGUCGCCGUCGAACCCAAGGCCUCCUCCACGCGUGCUGCACCUCUGUGCGUGUGCGUCUCCUCCAGCAGGCCUUCGUGCACGCCAUGUCCACCCUCCGUACGACCGUACCUACAGCACACAGACAAAGAAAUAACAAAAGAAGAAAAAAACAAAAAUAAUCACAAAAUGGAGGACUUUGUAUUUUUCUAUUUAUUUUUUCUUCUGUAUUUCCGGCUAUAUAAGCCAAGAUUCAAGACCUGUAUUCUUCCUUACAAAGAUUUUAAAAAGAAAAUACAAAAAAAAACAAAAAGGUGAUUCCUUUGGCUAUCUUUUUUUCUUUCUUUUUUCCUCCGAUUGAUUAUCUUUUUCUUUUUUCCUAUGCAUAAAAACGAAAAGAAAAAGCAAGAGAGAACUUACCGUUGCGAGCGUGCCAACGGAGCUCCGUUCACUCCGUUCGAAAUCGGAGUUGGUUGGGAUUUUGGGAUUGCGGCGCAGAGAACC